CCCAUUAGCUGGUAACAAUUUAAAAGGUAACCUGCAGACAAGAACACACUCACAUACAUCCAACAACAUGCAACUUGAGGGUCAUGACAAGGACUUUCUCCAAAAAGCCACACAGAGGUUCGACUACAUGUAGAAGUCAAGAGUUGUUGGGCCUUGAGUCAGGAGAGGUCCACCCAUGAAUUCUUGAUAGCCGUUCCUUCAUGGCUCAAGGCACUGACCUUAAAUCAAGCAAAAGAAGGCGGCUGCAGCGCUGCCCUCCCAAGAUUACUCAAGGCUGACCUCAUUUAACCAACAUCCCCUCCAAACAAGUCAACGAUGAAACCUCCUGCUUAUUG
rnacentral:lncRNA from 1 species